AACGCGAAGAACCUUACCUACCCUUGACAUCCUAAGAAUCUUGUAGAGAUAUGAGAGUGCCGAAAGGAACUUAGAGACAGGUGCUGCAUGGCUGUCGUCAGCUCGUGUUGUGAGAUGUUGGGUUAAGUCCCGUAACGAGCGCAACCCUUAUCCUUAGUUGCCAACAUGUAAUGGUGGGGACUCUAAGGAGACUGCCGGUGAUGAACCGGAGGAAAGCGGGGACGACGUCAAGUCAUCAUGGCCUUUAUGGGUAGGGCCACACACGUGCUACAAUGGGGCGUACAGAGGGAAGCCAACCUGCGAAGGGGAGCCAAUCCCAGAAAGCGCCUCGUAGUCCGGAUUGAAGUCUGCAACUCGACUUCAUGAAGUCGGAAUCGCUAGUAAUCGCGAAUCAGAACGUCGCGGUGAAUACGUUCCCGGGCCUUGUACACACCGUACGUC
rnacentral:rRNA from 1 species